UUAAGCGACUAAGCGUACACGGUGGAUGCCCUGGCAGUCAGAGGCGAUGAAGGACGUGCUAAUCUGCGAUAAGCGUCGGUAAGGUGAUAUGAACCGUUAUAACCGGCGAUUUCCGAAUGGGGAAACCCAGUGUGUUUCGACACACUAUCAUUAACUGAAUCCAUAGGUUAAUGAGGCGAACCGGGGGAACUGAAACAUCUAAGUACCCCGAGGAAAAGAAAUCAACCGAGAUUCCCCCAGUAGCGGCGAGCGAACGGGGAGCAGCCCAGAGCCUGAAUCAGUAUGUGUGUUAGUGGAAGCGUCUGGAAAGGCGCGCGAUACAGGGUGACAGCCCCGUACACAAAAAUGCACAUAUUGUGAGCUCGAUGAGUAGGGCGGGACACGUGGUAUCCUGUCUGAAUAUGGGGGGACCAUCCUCCAAGGCUAAAUACUCCUGACUGACCGAUAGUGAACCAGUACCGUGAGGGAAAGGCGAAAAGAACCCCGGCGAGGGGAGUGAAAAAGAACCUGAAACCGUGUACGUACAAGCAGUGGGAGCACGCUUAGGCGUGUGACUGCGUACCUUUUGUAUAAUGGGUCAGCGACUUAUAUUCUGUAGCAAGGUUAACCGAAUAGGGGAGCCGAAGGGAAACCGAGUCUUAACUGGGCGUUAAGUUGCAGGGUAUAGACCCGAAACCCGGUGAUCUAGCCAUGGGCAGGUUGAAGGUUGGGUAACACUAACUGGAGGACCGAACCGACUAAUGUUGAAAAAUUAGCGGAUGACUUGUGGCUGGGGGUGAAAGGCCAAUCAAACCGGGAGAUAGCUGGUUCUCCCCGAAAGCUAUUUAGGUAGCGCCUCGUGAAUUCAUCUCCGGGGGUAGAGCACUGUUUCGGCAAGGGGGUCAUCCCGACUUACCAACCCGAUGCAAACUGCGAAUACCGGAGAAUGUUAUCACGGGAGACACACGGCGGGUGCUAACGUCCGUCGUGAAGAGGGAAACAACCCAGACCGCCAGCUAAGGUCCCAAAGUCAUGGUUAAGUGGGAAACGAUGUGGGAAGGCCCAGACAGCCAGGAUGUUGGCUUAGAAGCAGCCAUCAUUUAAAGAAAGCGUAAUAGCUCACUGGUCGAGUCGGCCUGCGCGGAAGAUGUAACGGGGCUAAACCAUGCACCGAAGCUGCGGCAGCGACGCUUAUGCGUUGUUGGGUAGGGGAGCGUUCUGUAAGCCUGUGAAGGUGUGCUGUGAGGUAUGCUGGAGGUAUCAGAAGUGCGAAUGCUGACAUAAGUAACGAUAAAGCGGGUGAAAAGCCCGCUCGCCGGAAGACCAAGGGUUCCUGUCCAACGUUAAUCGGGGCAGGGUGAGUCGACCCCUAAGGCGAGGCCGAAAGGCGUAGUCGAUGGGAAACAGGUUAAUAUUCCUGUACUUGGUGUUACUGCGAAGGGGGGACGGAGAAGGCUAUGUUGGCCGGGCGACGGUUGUCCCGGUUUAAGCGUGUAGGCUGGUUUUCCAGGCAAAUCCGGAAAAUCAAGGCUGAGGCGUGAUGACGAGGCACUACGGUGCUGAAGCAACAAAUGCCCUGCUUCCAGGAAAAGCCUCUAAGCAUCAGGUAACAUCAAAUCGUACCCCAAACCGACACAGGUGGUCAGGUAGAGAAUACCAAGGCGCUUGAGAGAACUCGGGUGAAGGAACUAGGCAAAAUGGUGCCGUAACUUCGGGAGAAGGCACGCUGAUAUGUAGGUGAAGCGACUUGCUCGUGGAGCUGAAAUCAGUCGAAGAUACCAGCUGGCUGCAACUGUUUAUUAAAAACACAGCACUGUGCAAACACGAAAGUGGACGUAUACGGUGUGACGCCUGCCCGGUGCCGGAAGGUUAAUUGAUGGGGUUAGCGCAAGCGAAGCUCUUGAUCGAAGCCCCGGUAAACGGCGGCCGUAACUAUAACGGUCCUAAGGUAGCGAAAUUCCUUGUCGGGUAAGUUCCGACCUGCACGAAUGGCGUAAUGAUGGCCAGGCUGUCUCCACCCGAGACUCAGUGAAAUUGAACUCGCUGUGAAGAUGCAGUGUACCCGCGGCAAGACGGAAAGACCCCGUGAACCUUUACUAUAGCUUGACACUGAACAUUGAGCCUUGAUGUGUAGGAUAGGUGGGAGGCUUUGAAGUGUGGACGCCAGUCUGCAUGGAGCCGACCUUGAAAUACCACCCUUUAAUGUUUGAUGUUCUAACGUUGACCCGUAAUCCGGGUUGCGGACAGUGUCUGGUGGGUAGUUUGACUGGGGCGGUCUCCUCCUAAAGAGUAACGGAGGAGCACGAAGGUUGGCUAAUCCUGGUCGGACAUCAGGAGGUUAGUGCAAUGGCAUAAGCCAGCUUGACUGCGAGCGUGACGGCGCGAGCAGGUGCGAAAGCAGGUCAUAGUGAUCCGGUGGUUCUGAAUGGAAGGGCCAUCGCUCAACGGAUAAAAGGUACUCCGGGGAUAACAGGCUGAUACCGCCCAAGAGUUCAUAUCGACGGCGGUGUUUGGCACCUCGAUGUCGGCUCAUCACAUCCUGGGGCUGAAGUAGGUCCCAAGGGUAUGGCUGUUCGCCAUUUAAAGUGGUACGCGAGCUGGGUUUAGAACGUCGUGAGACAGUUCGGUCCCUAUCUGCCGUGGGCGCUGGAGAACUGAGGGGGGCUGCUCCUAGUACGAGAGGACCGGAGUGGACGCAUCACUGGUGUUCGGGUUGUCAUGCCAAUGGCACUGCCCGGUAGCUAAAUGCGGAAGAGAUAAGUGCUGAAAGCAUCUAAGCACGAAACUUGCCCCGAGAUGAGUUCUCCCUGACUCCUUGAGAGUCCUGAAGGAACGUUGAAGACGACGACGUUGAUAGGCCGGGUGUGUAAGCGCAGCGAUGCGUUGAGCUAACCGGUACUAAUGAACCGUGAGGCUUAACCUU
rnacentral:rRNA from 1 species